rnacentral:rRNA from 1 species
UACCGAGGGUGCGGGCGUUAAUCGGAAUUACUGGGCGUAAAGCGCACGUAGGUGGCGACGUAAGUCGGGUGUGAAAGCCCCGGGCUCAACCUGGGAAGUGCAUUCGAGACUGCAUUGCUGGAGUACGGAAGAGGAGGGCGGAAUUCCCGGUGUAGCGGUGAAAUGCGUAGAUAUCGGGAGGAACAUCAGUGGCGAAGGCGGCCCUCUGGUCCAGUACUGACACUCAAGUGCGAAAGCGUGGGGAGCAAGCAGG